CUUGGCUCAGACUGAUAACCCUCAUCCCAGACAAAAAUGACAGGAUGCACAGAGUCGGGUUCCCUCAAAGAGAAGCCAGUUGUGGUGGCACACACCUGCAAUCACAGCAUUUGGGAUGCUGAGGCAGAAGGAUUCCGAGUUGGGAGACAUCCUGUGCUAGGAGAACUCAAGGUCCAUCCCGACUCAGGGAAGAAGGCAGAGAAGAGUAGACCGAGACAGUGUGCAAAGAUGGCCACGAGCACUCUCCAGCACCUUUUGUGAUGUGAUGGCCCUCCUCUUCACACUCGGCGGCGUCUAUUUCUGAUUCCUGACCUUGUGACCGUUUCGAUGCACGGUGUGUGAUGGAAUGAACACCGCAUGCUGUGUAGUCCGGGACCGUCAUUCCAUCGGAAUCCAGUCACCACAGGUGCUAAAAAGGCCGUCAGGAUAAAGCCAGGCCCUGUGCCCCGCUGUCACAACGUGUACAGUCACCCCAGCCUCACAUGACCACGUGUCCCACUGCGGCUGCACCAGAGCUGAAGCAACUCGGAACUGGGAGAAAUCAAGGCUCUCGCUGCUUUCAGCUAGUUGGCGGCUCUAACUUGGAGGCAGGGAAGAAUCAGGAAGACUCUUAUAAAACUUCUAAAUCUGUGUGGCUGUGCAAGCGGUGCCCUCUCCUCUUGGAAAUAUCUCUGGAGGCAGCAGCAGCAACAA